AUGUAUCCAGUUAGUUUUGGAGUCUUUGAUUCUGAAAAUAAUGAGAAUUGGACGUGGUUCAUGCAAUUGCUAAGACGGGCCAUAGGAUCACCAAAUGGGUUGGCCAUAUGCACCGAUCUUGGUCAAGCAGUAAUGACAGGGGUGAAAGAAAUGUUCCCAGAGGCGGAACAUAGGGAAUGCAUGUUUCACUUGCUGACCAACUUCAAGAAGAAGUUCCAUGGGAAGGUAUUUGAUGACCACCUUUGGGCUGCUGCUUACUCAUGGAACCCAUAUUUAUUUGACAAACAUUGGGUUGCCAUGGAGACAACAAAGCCAGUUGCAACUGCAUAUAUAAGGAAGUGGCACAAUAGGUUGUGGUCUUGGAGUCAAUUCUCAACUAUCUGCAAGGAUGACUAUGUGACCAACAACCUGGCUGAGAGCUUUAACAAUUGGAUUAAGCACCACAAGUCCUUGAACUUGGACGACCUCUUUGAUAAGGCGGGACAAUUGAUUAUGAUAUUGUGGAACCGAAGGAGAAAAGUAUCAAAGGAGUUAGAUGGUUUGAUUCUUCCCCACAUAAUUAAGAAGCUGAAUGCAAUGACCAGGGAAUUAAACUUGGAGGCGGUAGAAAGCUUAGAAGAAGUGGCUGAAGUAAUUGCAAUUGGUGGUAGUGGCUUUAGGUUUGUGGUCAACUUGCAAGAGGGGACAUGUUCUUGUCGACAAUGGAAAGUUUCCGUCCUUCCUUGCAAACAUUCUCUUCCUUUCAUCACUUCACUUAGAAAUGCAGACAUACGACACUAUAUGGACUUGUAUUUCUCCAUUGACAAAUAUAGAGCAGCUUAUGCCAAUAUGCUGGACAAGACCCAAUGGCCUAAAUCAGACCAUGGAUUCUUCAUGCAUCCACCACUAUUGAAGGCCAUGGCUGGUACGCGUAAAACUGAGAGGUACAAAGGUUACGAUAAGAAGAAAAGGAAAAGUGGUCAACAGUUAUGCCCUAUUUGUAAGGAAUAUGGGCAUCAUUGGCACAAAUGUAAGAAGGGAAACCUAGAGGACAUUGCUGCAAUGAUGGUUGUGAGAGAACCACCAAAGAAAAGGACAAAGACAACCAAAACAGCUGAGUUAUCCAUUGUGCCUUGUGAAGACGGAGUACCAAAAAGAACUAUUUUCCCCCAAGGUUUGUAA
rnacentral:rRNA from 1 species